GAUUGUUUUGCAAUGAUCUGAUCUUGUCCACUGGUACUGGUUUCUACAUUGCUAUGUUCAUUUUACUGCGGGAAAACACUGUUUUUGCCAACUUGCAGAUAUUGAACCGAUCAGAUUUCAAUAUGAUAUUCACUAUGAUAUUGAGACUGUUUUAUGUUUUUGUACACUCAGUUGGAUAAUGGACAGCCGUGAUGAGUACAACAAGGAGCGCCUGGAU
rnacentral:lncRNA from 1 species